CCCUUAGAUGUUCUGGGUCGCACACGCGCUACACUGAAGGAGGCAGCGUGUACUCCUGGAUCGAAAGAUUUGGGUAACCCGCGAAUCUCCUUCGUGCUAGGGAUUGAGGUUUGCAAUUAUCCUUCAUGAACGAGGAAUUCCCAGUAAGUGCAAGUCAUAAGCUUGCGCUGACUACGUCCCUGCCCUUUGUACACACCGCCCGUCGCUACUACCGAUUGAAUGAUUUAGUGAGGACUUCGGACUGGGACCGAUGCGGCUUUCGGGCUGCGUCGGUAUUCUGGAAAGAUGUCCAAACUGUAUCAUUUAGAGGAAGUAAAANUCGUAACA
rnacentral:rRNA from 1 species